rnacentral:rRNA from 1 species
GAUGAACGCUGGCGGCGUGCCUAACACAUGCAAGUCGAGCGGAGAUAAAGAAGCUUGCUUCUUUAUCUUAGCGGCGGACGGGUGAGUAACGCGUGGGCAACCUACCUCAGACUGGGGGAUAACACAGGGAAACUUGUGCUAAUACCGCAUAAAGUAAUUAGUCGGCAUCGACUGAUUACCAAAGGAGUAAUCCGGUUUGAGAUGGGCCCGCGUCCGAUUAGCUAGUUGGUGGGGUAAAGGCCUACCAAGGCGACGAUCGGUAGCCGAACUGAGAGGUUGAUCGGCCACAUUGGGACUGAGACACGGCCCAGACUCCUACGGGUGGCAG